UACGGGGGGGGCAAGCGUUGUUCGGAAUUACUGGGCGUAAAGGGCUCGUAGGCGGCCAACUAAGUCAUACGUGAAAUCCCUCGGCUUAACCGGGGAACUGCGUCUGAUACUGGAUGGCUUGAGUUCGGGAGAGGGAUGCGGAAUUCCAGGUGUAGCGGUGAAAUGCGUAGAUAUCUGGAGGAACACCGGUGGCGAAGGCGGCAUCCUGGACCGAUACUGACGCUGAUGAGCGAAAGCCAGGGGAGCAAACGGG
rnacentral:rRNA from 1 species